UUCAAGUGGAACUAACGCAUCUAAAAUCCAGAAGCCGUGUUAAGAUGAGGUUCUAUUUAGCUCUAUUAAAUGUGCUUCUUUUUUGUUUAACAAUACACGGACACGAGGUCUGCCCUGGCAGACACAGCCCGAUGUGUGGCAAGAAUGGAACAUGCUACGUAACCUUUGCCAACGAAUGUAUUCGCAAUCUAUUCAACAGACAGCAAACUGCAAAUAGCUUAAAAAUAUUCGUGGUAGUGCAGAGGACAGCUUGCACUCCUCGCGAAAUGCCCCUUUGUAGGUUUCGUCAAAUGACAAACUGGAGUUUCAGCGAAACCCUUGAAAGAAGCCCGAAACUAGUUUCGAACAUAAACUAAAUAUAAGUAAUUGGAAAGAAACUAUGAUGGAUCUACUCUUAAACCGCAGAAAGAUUAUAAUAAAGGAGUUCCCAUAUCCAUAA